rnacentral:lncRNA from 1 species
AAAUAUCACCAAAGGAAACAUACUUUUAGUAUGGAAAUAAACAUAUCGUAAUGAAUCAGAGAUCAUGUCAUUAAGUAAACGAUUUGAUUCAAAGGUUAGAAAUGGAGACAGAAAACUUACGCUACUGGAACUGCUAUCGGAUCUGUGAAGUUUCUCGAGCAAGCUUUCUUUCUUCUCCUCCGGUUCCGGGUGAGAGACUUGAACUUUCUGCUCAAACUCCGAUGAGAUCGCGGCCUCUUCGCAUUUCUUCUCUUCGUCUUUCUUUCCAAACAUAUCAAACAGUCCACGAUCGGACUUCUCGACGGUUUCAGGCUCCGCCACCACGGUGGAUGUUUCGACGCACUCUUCGGUUUUGGGGGCGCUGUGGUAGACUCCUUCGUCAGACAUGAUGAAAGUUGAAUCGGGAUUAAGAAUAAAAACUGAGUAUUUGAUUGAUUGGUUGUUGUUGUUGUUGGAUGAGAUUAGAG